rnacentral:misc_RNA from 1 species
UUGAAUGUCUCCUGGAACCACUUGAACCAGGGCCUUCCUAAGGAAAUUGGGUCCAUGAAAAGCCUAACCUCUGCAGAUUUCUCCCAUAAUAACUUCUCUGGUUCCAUGCCCGAAUUUGGACAGUAUUCAUUAUUUAACUCCUCAUCUUUUGCUGGUAAUCCUUACCUGUGUAGCUCAUACUUGAUUCCUUGCAACAAAUCCUCCACCUCUUC